AAAAUGAUUUCGCGAAGCAACAAACAGUUAAAAUAGUGAAAAAAAAACGUUAAAUUGAAGAAAAUGUUAUGUGAGGAGUUCUAAGAUGGAAGCAAAUGUGCAGCAGUACGAGAUGGAACCAAAACGGGCUCAACCAAUGGCAGAAGCAUCGAAAAUUUCAAAACCGGCCAACAACGGACAACACUAGGGAUUCAACAAUGACGAGAUCAUCUGGACCAACUGGAGACGAAAAUCAGCCACAUCGGACACCCAAGAAGACGACCAUGGAAAUCUGGCAGUUUAGGGAAACCAUUGGAAGACGAUCAAGAAGACAACAAUAUCAGCAAGGACGCUUGCAAAGACGAAUAUGGACUACAGCUCAAGAAAGGGUAAAAUUUGUGAGUAUAUCGUGGGGAAUCUAAAAAGAUCGAAAAGGACGGUAAAAGUUCCGAUCUAGGGAUACAUAAACUGAUAAAGCAACGCCAAAGGGAU